CUGACCGAUAGUGAACCAGUACCGUGAGGGAAAGGCGAAAAGAACCCCGGCGAGGGGAGUGAAAAAGAACCUGAAACCGUGUACGUACAAGCAGUGGGAGCACAGAGCAAUCUGUGUGACUGCGUACCUUUUGUAUAAUGGGUCAGCGACUUAUAUUCUGUAGCAAGGUUAACCGAAUAGGGGAGCCGAAGGGAAACCGAGUCUUAACUGGGCGUUAAGUUGCAGGGUAUAGACCCGAAACCCGGUGAUCUAGCCAUGGGCAGGUUGAAGGUUGGGUAACACUAACUGGAGGACCGAACCGACUAAUGUUGAAAAAUUAGCGGAUGACUUGUGGCUGGGGGUGAAAGGCCAAUCAAACCGGGAGAUAGCUGGUUCUCCCCGAAAGCUAUUUAGGUAGCGCCUCGUGAAUUCAUCUCCGGGGGUAGAGCACUGUUUCGGCAAGGGGGUCAUCCCGACUUACCAACCCGAUGCAAACUGCGAAUACCGGAGAAUGUUAUCACGGGAGACACACGGCGGGUGCUAACGUCCGUCGUGAAGAGGGAAACAACCCAGACCGCCAGCUAAGGUCCCAAAGUCAUGGUUAAGUGGGAAACGAUGUGGGAAGGCCCAGACAGCCAGGAUGUUGGCUUAGAAGCAGCCAUCAUUUAAAGAAAGCGUAAUAGCUCACUGGUCGAGUCGGCCUGCGCGGAAGAUGUAACGGGGCUAAACCAUGCACCGAAGCUGCGGCAGCGACGCUGAUGCGUUGUUGGGUAGGGGAGCGUUCUGUAAGCCUGUGAAGGUGUGCUGUGAGGCAUGCUGGAGGUAUCAGAAGUGCGAAUGCUGACAUAAGUAACGAUAAAGCGGGUGAAAAGCCCGCUCGCCGGAAGACCAAGGGUUCCUGUCCAACGUUAAUCGGGGCAGGGUGAGUCGACCCCUAAGGCGAGGCCGAAAGGCGUAGUCGAUGGGAAACAGGUUAAUAUUCCUGUACUUGGUGUUACUGCGAAGGGGGGACGGAGAAGGCUAUGUUGGCCGGGCGACGGUUGUCCCGGUUUAAGCGUGUAGGCUGGUUUUCCAGGCAAAUCCGGAAAAUCAAGGCUGAGGCGUGAUGACGAGGCACUACGGUGCUGAAGCAACAAAUGCCCUGCUUCCAGGAAAAGCCUCUAAGCAUCAGGUAACAUCAAAUCGUACCCCAAACCGACACAGGUGGUCAGGUAGAGAAUACCAAGGCGCUUGAGAGAACUCGGGUGAAGGAACUAGGCAAAAUGGUGCCGUAACUUCGGGAGAAGGCACGCUGAUAUGUAGGUGAAGUCCCUCGCGGAUGGAGCUGAAAUCAGUCGAAGAUACCAGCUGGCUGCAACUGUUUAUUAAAAACACAGCACUGUGCAAACACGAAAGUGGACGUAUACGGUGUGACGCCUGCCCGGUGCCGGAAGGUUAAUUGAUGGGGUUAGCGCAAGCGAAGCUCUUGAUCGAAGCCCCGGUAAACGGCGGCCGUAACUAUAACGGUCCUAAGGUAGCGAAAUUCCUUGUCGGGUAAGUUCCGACCUGCACGAAUGGCGUAAUGAUGGCCAGGCUGUCUCCACCCGAGACUCAGUGAAAUUGAACUCGCUGUGAAGAUGCAGUGUACCCGCGGCAAGACGGAAAGACCCCGUGAACCUUUACUAUAGCUUGACACUGAACAUUGAGCCUUGAUGUGUAGGAUAGGUGGGAGGCUUUGAAGUGUGGACGCCAGUCUGCAUGGAGCCGACCUUGAAAUACCACCCUUUAAUGUUUGAUGUUCUAACGUUGACCCGUGAUCCGGGUUGCGGACAGUGUCUGGUGGGUAGUUUGACUGGGGCGGUCUCCUCCUAAAGAGUAACGGAGGAGCACGAAGGUUGGCUAAUCCUGGUCGGACAUCAGGAGGUUAGUGCAAUGGCAUAAGCCAGCUUGACUGCGAGCGUGACGGCGCGAGCAGGUGCGAAAGCAGGUCAUAGUGAUCCGGUGGUUCUGAAUGGAAGGGCCAUCGCUCAACGGAUAAAAGGUACUCCGGGGAUAACAGGCUGAUACCGCCCAAGAGUUCAUAUCGACGGCGGUGUUUGGCACCUCGAUGUCGGCUCAUCACAUCCUGGGGCUGAAGUAGGUCCCAAGGGUAUGGCUGUUCGCCAUUUAAAGUGGUACGCGAGCUGGGUUUAGAACGUCGUGAGACAGUUCGGUCCCUAUCUGCCGUGGGCGCUGGAGAACUGAGGGGGGCUGCUCCUAGUACGAGAGGACCGGAGUGGACGCAUCACUGGUGUUCGGGUUGUCAUGCCAAUGGCACUGCCCGGUAGCUAAAUGCGGAAGAGAUAAGUGCUGAAAGCAUCUAAGCACGAAACUUGCCCCGAGAUGAGUUCUCCCUGAC
rnacentral:rRNA from 1 species